rnacentral:rRNA from 1 species
UACGUAGGGUGCGAGCGUUGUCCGGAAUUAUUGGGCGUAAAGAGCUCGUAGGCGGCUUGUUACGUCGGAUGUGAAAGCCCGGGGCUUAACUCCGGGUCUGCAUUCGAUACGGGCAGGCUAGAGUUCGGUAGGGGAGAUCGGAAUUCCUGGUGUAGCGGUGAAAUGCGCAGAUAUCAGGAAGAACACCCGUGGCGAAGGCGGCUCUCUGGGACGGUACUGACGCUGAGACGCGAAAGCGUGGGGAGCGAACAGG